AGCGGAGGAAAAGAAACCAACCGGGAUUGCCUUAGUAACGGCGAGUGAAGCGGCAAAAGCUCAAAUUUGAAAUCUGGUACCUUCGGUGCCCGAGUUGUAAUUUGGAGAGGGCAACUUUGGGGCCGUUCCUUGUCUAUGUUCCUUGGAACAGGACGUCAUAGAGGGUGAGAAUCCCGUGUGGCGAGGAGUGCGGUUCUUUGUAAAGUGCCUUCGAAGAGUCGAGUUGUUUGGGAAUGCAGCUCUAAGUGGGUGGUAAAUUCCAUCUAAAGCUAAAUAUUGGCGAGAGACCGAUAGCGAACAAGUACAGUGAUGGAAAGAUGAAAAGAACUUUGAAAAGAGAGUGAAAAAGUACGUGAAAUUGUUGAAAGGGAAGGGCAUUUGAUCAGACAUGGUGUUUUGUGCCCUCUGCUCCUUGUGGGUAGGGGAAUCUCGCAUUUCACUGGGCCAGCAUCAGUUUUGGUGGCAGGAUAAAUCCAUAGGAAUGUAGCUUGCCUCGGUAAGUAUUAUAGCCUGUGGGAAUACUGCCAGCUGGGACUGAGGA
rnacentral:rRNA from 1 species